rnacentral:rRNA from 1 species
AUGCAUUUUGCUGACGGCAAUGAUGUGCCGUGGCCGUCGUUUGCUGGUUCUCUUGAAGGCACGACUCUAAAUUAUGAAGGGCUGUUGUUGCAAGUUACUUAUGUGGUGCAGCGUUUGCCGGUUGCUUUGAAUUUUUUGAGAGAAUACUGGAGGUAUCUACCAAGUGUGCGACUGAAAUCUUGUCCCUAUGAGAAGCUUGCCGGUUGGACCCCUAUGCUGCCAAAAGCAAUUCCCGUUCGGAAUCAACAGAUAAUCCAAUCACUGGGUGAGGUGAAUUGGGGCGUUGUGGAGUGGCGGUCAGUGAUCUCUUUUGUACAGUCAUUUGCUCCUACUAUUCAUGUGUCCUGUAUAGUCUUCUCUAGCCAUGAGUCGAUGAGGAAGCCUAUGCUACCCUGGAGGCUUGUCGUUCAUAUUGUGGCCAUGGAGGACGAACUCCUCACCACUCUAUCUCUGAUAUUCUCAGCUGUCGAUUCAAAGCAGCCAUUCCUGAGCCAUGAUUUGGACAUUUCGCCGCGUACAAGGCACCAGGGGCUGCUGCUACAGCCGAUGUCGUGGCCAUCAUAUUGGGCAGCUCUUAUUGCAGAGGAAAUGGAAACCCGACCCAUUCCAUGGCCGCCGUUUGCAAUCGGUUUGCCAUCAAAAGUCUGCUGUUCUAGUGUUGUCCAUUGGAACUUCUCGGUGAUUGCUUCUGUUCAUGAUCUUCAUACCUGGACAUUCAGGGCACAUCGGUUUUUGUCUGUCCAAGUGUGUGGCAUUGGCUUGACUAGCAGAUCUAAUCCAAAGAAACUAUUUCAUAUUGGAGCUUGUGUGUACAAUACAUGGCAACGGUGGUACAAUCUCAGUGGUUGUUUUGCCCUAGAAUGCAGUGCUGAACAAUAUGGUACACAGUGGCAGUCUUGGCGUAUACUGGAUCAGGCAACAUCUGAAUUUAAACACUUAAGUCAAAAAUGUUGCAGCCAAAUGGUGGUGCAGGAAACAUUGUAUCUCGGAAAACUUUCUACACAUGCAAGUUAUCUUAGCUGUUUUGGGCCAGAAGCAAUUCACUGGGAGCUAGUGAACUACAAGGGCAUACAAUUUUAUCCUUGCUGCAUAGGGCACUCACAGGAAGAUUCUGAAUUUGGAGUACAUCAUGUAUACAUGAGCACUAGUACGACACUGCUGUUGUUGCUGUUUAACUGGCAUUUAUUUCCAUAUACAAAGUUCCUUGUUGGAAAAAUGGCAGCAUUUAGGAAUUCAAGUGCAGUCAAGACCUCUGGGAACUCCAGUCAUCAACACUACUUUAAUGAAUGUGUGAAGUUAUGGCCUUCUGCUGCUGGAACUAACGAGAAGAUACUUGGUCAGAGGAGUUAG